GUUAGUUGGUAGGGUAAUGGCCUACCAAGACGAUGAUGUGUAGCUGGACUGAGAGGUUGAACAGCCACAUUGGGACUGAGACACGGCCCAAACUCCUACGGGAGGCAGCAGUAGGGAAUUUUCGGCAAUGGAGGAAACUCUGACCGAGCAACGCCGCGUGAAUGACGAAGUACUUCGGUAUGUAAAGUUCUUUUAUCAAGGAAGAAAAGCAAAUGGCGAACCAUUUGUUUGCCGGUACUUGAUGAAUAAGCCCCGGCUAAUUAUGUGCCAGCAGCCGCGGUAAGACAUAAGGGGCAAGUGUUAUCCGGAAUUAUUGGGCGUAAAGGGUGCGUAGGCGGUCUAGUAAGUCAGUGGUGUAAUGGCAACGCUUAACGUUGUCCGGCUAUUGAAACUGCUAAACUUGAGUUAGAUAGAGGCGAGUGGAAUUCCAUGUGUAGCGGUAAAAUGCGUAAAUAUAUGGAGGAACACCAGAGGCGUAGGCGGCUCGCUGGGUCUUAACUGACGCUGAGGCACGAAAGCGUGGGGAGCAAACAGGAUUAGAUACCCUGGUAGUCCACGCCGUAAACGAUGAGUACUAAGUGUCGGGUUAAACCGGUACUGAAGUUAACACAUUAAGUACUCCGCCUGAGUAGUACGUACGCAAGUAUGAAACUUAAAGGAAUUGACGGGACUCCGCACAAGCGGUGGAUCAUGUUGUUUAAUUCGAAGAUACCCGAAAAACCUUACCAGGUCUUGACAUGUUUUUGCAAAAUGAUAGUAAUAUCGUGGAGGUUACCAGAAACACAGGUGGUGCAUGGUUGUCGUCAGCUCGUGUCGUGAGAUGUUAGGUUAAGUCCUAAAACGAGCGAAACCCUUAUCGUUAGUUGCCAGCACGUUAUGGUGGGGACUUUAACGAGACUGUCAAUGAUAAAUUGGAGGAAGGUGAGGAUCACGUCAAAUCAGCAUGCCCCUUAUGACCUGGGCUACAAACGUGAUACAAUGGCUGUUACAAAGGGUAGCUGAAACGCAAGUUCUUGGCCAAUCCCCAAAAACAGUCCCAGUCCGGAUUGAAGUCUGCAACUCGACUUCAUGAAGUUGGAAUCGCUAGUAAUC
rnacentral:rRNA from 1 species